CCCUGUAUUCCACAGCCAUGGAAUCCAUCCAGGGAGAGGCCAGGAGAGGGGGAACCAUCGAGACUGACGACCAGAUGGGAGGAAUUCCAGCCCGGAAUUCCCGGGGGGAGAGGCUGCUGCUCUACAUCGGCAUCAUCGACGUGUUACAGUCCUACAGGUUUGUGAAGAAGUUGGAGCACUCCUGGAAAGC